AUCUUACCUGGAGAGCCUGGCCAGCCCACCUGGACCCAAGGAUGUCCCUGCUGUCAAACUGCUCCUGUCAGACUUGCUCCUGAUAUGACGUUUAUACUGCCACUCACCCUUGGCCCUUUCCGGAAGUUUUACCAUGUCACGAAAGGCAAAGACAGAUGGAGGAAAUGUCUAGGGAAGAGGACACUAAGGGGACUGGACAACUGAAUGCAGUACGUGAUCUAGGACACGGUCUGGGAGUUUUUGUCGUUGCUGUUAAAAAAUACAUUGGGACAACUGGCAAAAUAUGAAUAAGAGGAGAACACAAGCUUCUGAGGAUUUGAGUGACAUGUGGUGCAACACCCAGGUGUGAGGGCCCCGGUGCAUCCGCCCUAAGUUUGUGAGCAGAAAAGGCUCCGAAAGGGACGCAUGCCUCAGGCCCUGCCUCUGGCUGCAGGACAAAUACCAGAACCUUCCAAGCUCCAGAAUCACAUUUCCCACUUCUCUCAGAAUUGUGACCAACCAGCAGUUGAUUCUGCCUUCGAGGGCGAGUUCAAGUUAAUGUUGUGACCCAUGGACAUGGGGGGCU